AGGGCAGUCGCCGUGGCAGCAGUGGUGUGAAAUCUUAUUGGUUUCUGAUAUCUGAUUAACACCUUGGCCUUACAAUUCGGUUUUCCAUAAACUUCUGUGCAGAAAUCUAGGGAAUCCAAAAGAACGUGGGAGUGCUGAUCUCCCUGCAGUCUGAAGCCUGGAGAAACCGUCUGGAAGGCUAUAGCUGUUCAUCUCACAGGAGCAGAUGUUGUCCCUCCCCAGGGAGUUAUUAUGGGUUGGAAGAAAUGGGAAAAUGAAAAUAACUUAUUUUGUGAAUGUUAUCAAAUAUGAUAAGCACCAGCCAGAUAGAGCUCUGAAUGAGAAGAAGCAAGCAGACUCAAUGUGGAUGAAGUGUGGAGGGGAUUUUGAGAGAUGAAGCUUGAAAUACAACUGUAUUGACCCUUGAACAAGUUCUGCAAGUGGUGAGGGAAUGUCAACCAAGUAGUCAGAACCGUACCCAGAAGACGGCGGAGCAACAGCUUAGAGGGUCCCUAAGUUCCUGGUUGGCCACAUGAAGAAAAGUCACCUAUCUUCCUCCAUGCUGUAUGUUAAAGAGAAAUAGGCCUGCAUUUUGUCUGAGCCACUGCAUUUUUAAGUCUCCAUGUGAUAGCAGCUUAGUUUAUAUCCUAAUCAACAAAACAUGAACUUUAAUAAGUCAUUUGCUUAAGUUUCUUGUGGUGUACUUCUAUACAAAGAGAAGAAAUGUGUACAAGACACUUACAUGAAUUUGUAGCUGCAAGAAUAAUCUUACUCAGGUUGUCCUGAUUAACCUAGGUUUGCAAACUAUAGGCAUCAGGUGGAAUUUGACCCUGCAUUUUGUUUUCAGUAAAGAAUGCUUUAAAAAUUACAAUUUUUUUUGAGUGCUUUUAGGACAGGGUGUACUAACUCAUCACAGUUCUCAGUGUCUUACUCCUGCCUCUGUUCAUUUAUUUAUUUUGAGACAAAGUCUCACUCUGUCACCCAGGCUGGAGUGCAUUGGCAUGAUCUCGGCUCACUGCAACCUCUGCUGCCUGGGUUCAAGCGAUUCUCCGUAGAGACAAGAUUUCACCAUGUUGGCCAAUCUGGUCUCAAACUCCUGACCUCAAGUGAUCCACCUGCCUCAGCCUCCCAAAGUACUGGGAUAUGGAAUUACAG
rnacentral:lncRNA from 13 species